rnacentral:rRNA from 1 species
CGAACGCUGGCGGCGUGCCUAACACAUGCAAGUCGAGCGAGGAGAUCCUCGGGAUGAUCCUAGCGGCGGACGGGUGAGUAACACGUGGGCAACCUGCCUCAUAGAGAGGAAUAGCCUUCCGAAAGGGAGAUUAAUACCUCAUAACAUUGCAGUUUCGCAUGGAACAGCAAUUAAAGGAGUAAUCCGCUAUGAGAUGGGCCCGCGGCGCAUUAGCUAGUUGGUGAGGUAAUGGCUCACCAAGGCGACGAUGCGUAGCCGACCUGAGAGGGUGAUCGGCCACAUUGGGACUGAGACACGGCCCAGACUCCUACGGGAGGCAGCAGUGGGGAAUAUUGCACAAUGGGGGAAACCCUGAUGCAAGCAACGCCGCGUGAGUGAUGACGGCCUUCGGGUUGUAAAGCUCUGUCUUCAGGGACGAUAAUGACGGUACCUGAGGAGGAAGCCACGGCUAACUACGUGCCAGCAGCCGC